UACGUAGGUGGCAAGCGUUGUCCGGAAUUACUGGGCGUAAAGAGCGCGCAGGCGGCUGGUCAAGUCCGAUGUGAAAGCUCCCGGCUUAACUGGGAAAUUGCAUCGGAAACUGAUCGGCUUGAAGGUGGGAGAGGGUAGUGGAAUUCCCGGUGUAGUGGUGAAAUGCGUAGAUAUCGGGAGGAACACCAGUGGCGAAGGCGACUACCUGGCCCACUCUUGACGCUGAGGCGCGAAAGCUAGGGGGAGCGAACGGG
rnacentral:rRNA from 1 species